rnacentral:rRNA from 1 species
GAUGAACGCUGGCGGCGUGCCUAAUACAUGCAAGUCGAGCGAACGGACGAGAAGCUUGCUUCUCUGAUGUUAGCGGCGGACGGGUGAGUAACACGUGGAUAACCUACCUAUAAGACUGGGAUAACUUCGGGAAACCGGAGCUAAUACCGGAUAAUAUUAUGAACCGCAUGGUUCAAAAGUGAAAGACGGUCUUGCUGUCACUUAUAGAUGGAUCCGCGCUGCAUUAGCUAGUUGGUAAGGUAACGGCUUACCAAGGCAACGAUGCAUAGCCGACCUGAGAGGGUGAUCGGCCACACUGGAACUGAGACACGGUCCAGACUCCUACGGGAGGCAGCAGUAGGGAAUCUUCCGCAGUGGGCGAAAGCCUGACGGAGCAACGCCGCGUGAGUGAUGAAGGUCUGCGGAUCGUAAAACUCUGUUAUUAGGGAAGAACAUAUGUGUAAGUAACUGUGCACAUCUGGACGGUACCUAAUCAGAAAGCCACGGCGAACUACGU